UCGAGCGAACAGAUAAGGAGCUUGCUCCUUUGACGUUAGCGGCGGACGGGUGAGUAACACGUGGGUAACCUACCUAUAAGACUGGGAUAACUUCGGGAAACCGGAGCUAAUACCGGAUAACAUUUGGAACCGCAUGGUUCUAAAGUGAAAGAUGGUUUUGCUAUCACUUAUAGAUGGACCCGCGCCGUAUUAGCUAGUUGGUAAGGUAACGGCUUACCAAGGCAACGAUACGUAGCCGACCUGAGAGGGUGAUCGGCCACACUGGAACUGAGACACGGUCCAGACUCCUACGGGAGGCAGCAGUAGGGAAUCUUCCGCAAUGGGCGAAAGCCUGACGGAGCAACGCCGCGUGAGUGAUGAAGGGUUUCGGCUCGUAAAACUCUGUUAUUAGGGAAGAACAAACGUGUAAGUAACUGUGCACGUCUUGACGGUACCUAAUCAGAAAGCCACGGCUAACUACGUGCCAGCAGCCGCGGUAAUACGUAGGUGGCAAGCGUUAUCCGGAAUUAUUGGGCGUAAAGCGCGCGUAGGCGGUUUCUUAAGUCUGAUGUGAAAGCCCACGGCUCAACCGUGGAGGGUCAUUGGAAACUGGGAAACUUGAGUGCAGAAGAGGAAAGUGGAAUUCCAUGUGUAGCGGUGAAAUGCGCAGAGAUAUGGAGGAACACCAGUGGCGAAGGCGACUUUCUGGUCUGUAACUGACGCUGAUGUGCGAAAGCGUGGGGAUCAAACAGGAUUAGAUACCCUGGUAGUCCACGCCGUAAACGAUGAGUGCUAAGUGUUAGGGGGGUUUCCGCCCCUUAGUGCUGCAGCUAACGCAUUAA
rnacentral:rRNA from 1 species